CGGGAUUUGAGACAUGCAAGUAGAAUGGUUUAAAAUUUAAUACAUUUUAGAAUUGCGUCCGGGCGAGUAAUAAUAAAGAACCUACCUUAAAGAGGGGUAUAAAAUACCGUAUAUUGAAAGCGUAAACUAUGAGAAGGGUAUAGAGAAUAUUAUUCUCUAUGCGUAUACUUAAGCGCUUUAAGAGGGGCUUUAUUCUGAUUAGCUAGUUGGUAUGUGUAAAAGACUACCAAAGCUAA
rnacentral:rRNA from 1 species